rnacentral:misc_RNA from 1 species
AAUAGACAACCAGAGCCCUUCCCCUUUCCUUAUGAUUAUGAUAGAGACAUAAUCCUUAGUGAUUGGUACCACCACAAUCCUUAUGAACAAGCCACGAACUUGUCUUCGAUACCUUUUCAGUGGGUUGGAGAACCUCAGUCACUUCUAAUCAAUGGAAGAGGGAAGUACAAUUGUUCUCUUUUGGGUUCAAGUGUAGACCCAGAAGUUUGUAAUCUAACAAAUCCUACAUGUUCUCCAGCAGUAUUAACAGUAAUUCCUGGAAAAACAUACCGGUAUAGGAUUGCUAGCUUGACUUCACUUUCUUCUUUCAGUUUCCAAAUAGAGGGCCACAACAUGACAGUUGUUGAAGCUGAUGGGACAUAUGUUGAGCCAUUUGUUACCCAGAACUUAUACAUUUACUCUGGUGAGACAUUUUCUGUCUUAGUGAACGCCACUCAAGACCCUACAAGGAACUACUGGGCUACCAUAAAUGUGGUUAGUCGAAAACCAGCAACUCCUGAUGGAUUAGCCAUUUUCAAUUACUACCCAAAUCAUUUCCAUAAAUUGCCUCCUACUGUACCACCACCUGGUCCCCUUUGGAAUGAUACUGAUUCCAGAAUAAACCAAAGCCUCGCCAUUAAAGCACUUCAAGGUCAUGUAGAGUCCCCUCCCAAGACAUCAGAUAGAGUGAUUGUACUUCUCAACACGCAGAACACCAUUGAUGGCAAAUAUCGCUGGUCUCUUAACAAUGUAUCUCACUCCCUACCUACUACCCCAUACCUCAUAGCACUCAAGGAAAAUAUGAGUGAUGUUUUUGAUCAAACCCCACCUCCAGAAAACUACAACCCAGAUUAUGACAUUUUCAAUGUUGCGAAUAACACAAAUGCCACUUCUAGUACAUCCAUUUACAGGCUCAUAUUUAACUCCACAGUGGAUAUUAUACUUCAAAAUGCCAACACCAUCACGAAGAAUAAUAGCGAGACACAUCCUUGGCAUCUACAUGGGCAUGAUUUUUGGGUGUUAGGAUAUGGGACCGGAAAGUUCAACAAUGAAACUGAUGUUGGGAAAUAUAAUUUGGAUAAUCCAAUAAUGAAGAAUACAGUGCCGCUUCACCCUUAUGGAUGGACAGCAUUGAGGUUUCGAGCAGAUAAUCCAGGCAUCUGGCUUUUCCAUUGCCAUAUCGAGUCUCACUUCUUCAUGGGAAUGUUAGCAUUGUUUGAAUCGGGAUCAGAGAUGGUUUCAGACCCCCCAGAAGCUAACAUGGGCUGUGGGGAGUCCAAGCGCUUAAUUAAUAAUACUAUUCUUACUUAAGGUUAUUAUUAUUAUUUUUUAAUAUUAGCAAAGAAAUGGCAUUUGUAUUGGUAUU